rnacentral:rRNA from 1 species
GAUGAACGCUGGCGGCGUGCUUAACACAUGCAAGUCGAACGAAGCACUCUACUUGAUCUCUUCGGAGUGAUUGUUUUGUAACUGAGUGGCGGACGGGAGAGUAACGCGUGGGUAACCUGCCUCAUACAGGGGGAUAACAGUUGGAAACGACUGCUAAUACCGCAUAAGCGCACAGCAUCGCAUGAUGCAGUGUGAAAAACUCCGGUGGUAUGAGAUGGACCCGCGUCUGAUUAGCCAGUUGGUGGGGUAACGGCCUACCAAAGCGACGAUCAGGAGCCGACCUGAGAGGGUGACCGGCCACAUUGGGACUGAGACACGGCCCAAACUCCUACGGGAGGCAGCAGUGGGGAAUAUUGCACAAUGGGGGAAACCCUGAUGCAGCGACGCCGCGUGAGCGAAGAAGUAUUUCGGUAUGUAAAGCUCUAUCAGCAGGGAAGAAGAAAUGACGGUACCUGACUAAGAAGCACCGGCUAAACUCGUGCCAGCCGCCGCAGUAA